rnacentral:tRNA from 1 species
UCCCAGGUGGCUUAGGGGUAAAGCGUCUGCCUGCCAAAGCAGGAGAUGUGGGUUUGAUCCCUGGGUUGGGAA